UGAGGAAUAUUGGUCAAUGGGCGCAAGCCUGAACCAGCCAUGCCGCGUGCAGGAUGAAGCCUCUCUGGUUUGUAAACUGCUUUUGUAUGGGACGAAAAAACCUCUCGCUAGAUCAACUGACGGUACCGUAAGAAUAAGCACCGGCUAACUCCGUGCCAGCAGCCGCGGUAAUACGGAGGAUGCAAGCGUUAUCCGGAUUCACUGGGUUUAAAGGGUGCGUAGGCGGCUUUGUAAGUCAGUGGUGAAAUCCUCGAGCUUAACGGGAGAACUGCCAUUGAUACUGAAAAGCUUGAGUACAUAGGAAGUAAGUAGAAUGUGUAGUGUAGCGGUGAAAUGCUUAGAUAUUACAUGGAACACCAAUUGCGAAGGCAGGUUACUACUCAGUGACUGACGCUGAUGCACGAAAGCGUGGGGAGCGAACA
rnacentral:rRNA from 1 species